GCAGCGCAGGUAGCAAUACUGGGCGGCGACCGGCAAACGGGUGCGGAACACGUACACAACCUUCCGAGAAGUGGGGAAUAGCCCAGAGAAAUUUGGAUUAAUACCCCGUAACAUAACGAUGUGGCAUCACAUUGUUAUUAUAGCUUCGGCGCUUCUUGAUGGGUGUGCGGCUGAUUAGAUAGUUGGCGGGGUAACGGCCCACCAAGUCUACGAUCAGUAGCUGAUGUGAGAGCAUGAUCAGCCACACGGGCACUGAGACACGGGCCCGACUCCUACGGGAGGCAGCAGUAAGGAAUAUUGGUCAAUGGACGCAAGUCUGAACCAGCCAUGCCGCGUGAAGGAUUAAGGUCCUCUGGAUUGUAAACUUCUUUUAUCUGGGACGAAAAAAGGCGAUUCUUCGUCACUUGACGGUACCAGAUGAAUAAGCACCGGCUAACUCCGUGCCAGCAGCCGCGGUAAUACGGAGGGUGCAAGCGUUAUCCGGAUUCACUGGGUUUAAAGGGUGCGUAGGCGGGCAGGUAAGUCAGUGGUGAAAUCCUAGAGCUUAACUCUAGAACUGCCAUUGAUACUAUCUGUCUUGAAUAUUGUGGAGGUAAGCGGAAUAUGUCAUGUAGCGGUGAAAUGCUUAGAUAUGACAUAGAACACCUAUUGCGAAGGCAGCUUACUACGCAUAUAUUGACGCU
rnacentral:rRNA from 1 species